rfam:Schistosoma rodhaini strain Burundi genome assembly, scaffold: SROB_scaffold0000666
AUCCAGCUGAAGAGUCCCAAAUAGGACGAAACGCGCGUUCUGGAU